UACGUAGGGUGCGAGCGUUAAUCGGAAUUACUGGGCGUAAAGCGUGCGCAGGCGGUUUUGUAAGCCAGAUGUGAAAGCCCCGGGCUUAACCUGGGAAUGGCAUUUGGGACUGCAAGGCUGGAGUGUGGCAGAGGAGACUGGAAUUCCUGGUGUAGCAGUGAAAUGCGUAGAUAUCAGGAGGAACACCGAUGGCGAAGGCAGGUCUCUGGGCUGACACUGACGCUCAUGCACGAAGCGUGGGGAGCAAACAGGAUUAGAGUACC
rnacentral:rRNA from 1 species